rnacentral:rRNA from 1 species
UACGUAGGGACCGAGCGUUGUCCGGAUUCAUUGGGCGUAAAGAGCUCGUAGGCGGCCACUCAAGUCGAAUGUGAAACCUCGAGGCUUAACCUCGAGCCUGCAUUCGAUACUGGGCGGCUAGAGUCUGGUAGGGGGAUCUGGAAUUCCUGGUGUAGCGGUGGAAUGCGCAGAUAUCAGGAGGAACACCCGUGGCGAAGGCGGCUCUCUGGGACGGUACUGACGCUGAGACGCGAAAGCGUGGGGAGCGAACAGG